UUUCAAAUCAAAGCAAGAAGGAGAUUCAGAUAUUGCAGAGAGAAAAAUUGUGUUCAAGAAUACUAAAUCAGGAUAAUCAUCAAAUAAAAAUAACAAAAUAGACCUCAUUAGUUACAAAACCACACUCUUAAAGCCCCUCAAAUCACUCUUGAUUCUCACUCUCCUCGCACCCCAUUCCCACUCUCUUUCUCAUCACCAAGUCUCAACACUCUCCUGCCAUCCUCGACUCCACUAAACCUAGCACCAUCACCAACGAGUCUCGGGUCCAAACUCCAUUGGCAUAAACCUCUCAAGAAAAGAAAAAAAAGAUCAAUAUGUUUGUGACCAUCACAAACACUAAUCCACAAAUCUAAAGAAGAAAGGUAUAUAAACAAAAAAUCACUAAAAUCGCCUAUUUUAAACAUACCUUGAUCAAAGUUAAAAUGUCGGAUUAAAGAUAGAUUAGUAGGGGUAAAGGGAACACUACUAACCUCGACCCUAGUCUCUUUUGAUGUUGGUUUGGUAUGUUUGCACUUAAAUAAGAUUCACAUGUGAUGAAAAUGAGUCCUCUCGCUAUGAUAAGUAGUGCUAAAACAAAGAUGCUAAUGGAUUGAGCUAGGUAAAGUGCACAAGGUGCAAAUUAUAACUUGUUACUCAAACUCAAAUUAAGAACUAAACAUUAUCAAAAAUCAGUUUUUGAGAUCUUUUGAAAGAUCUCAUUUGAGUUAUUGGGUGUAGUUAUCGUCUCCUUUAGAAGGAGGUUAGAGAAUUCUAGGUCGAAUGUAAACUAAAACCAAGUUCUAAACAUCUAAUAAACCCUAAUUCAUUGGAUCUUAAAUACCAAAUCAAACAAGACUCAAACUAGCACCUCAACUGAAAGCCAGCAUUACUCUCAAGCAUAACACCGAAAUCACCGAAUUCAGACAAACAAAAGCUCUGAAUCAGCCACGAACUCGGUCAAAAUCAUCCUCAUAAGUACAGCCAUAAUUAUUCCUAACCUGGCUACCAAAAUCAGCCCAAUAUCAUUACCGCCGAGAAGUCAAUCUUUCAAAUUCGGUCAAAAUCAAAUCAAAACGCUGAAACCAUUAAUCUUAGCUCAAAUCAGACCCUAUCCCGUCAACUAGUGGCAGCCAUAAACAAAUCUCAAACUACAAGGGAAUCGAAUUCUAAACUUUGGUCGAUUUGAGUCAUGUUUCCCGCUUGCACCUUCCGAGUCUCUCGUGAUAGAUAGCUCCCUAAUCACCUUGCGGCUUGCAUCAAAGCCUCAAGCAUUACUACCUAGACAACCACCAAAUCCCAUUGAAGCAGUCAUAAUCAUCAUCUUAAUACCAAUACUCCAAUCAUAGCCAACAGUCGAACCUCGUAUGUUAUAAAUUCAAUCAUUACUAUGUCAAAAUGUCACCAUCUCCAAGCCCACACAUCAACUUCACGCACAAAGCGAACCAGACAACCAAUACCAAAUCGAAAAAUACCAAAAUCAACCCGCCAUAGUAGGCUAGCAUGCAGCAAAGUCAAUAGUCGAACCAAAUCCACAAAGUAAGAAUCUUAAUAUCGAGCACAUAACAAGGUAGGCUAGAGCAGAGUUUUACAAUAGCAGUACCUGGAGGUGACCUUAUUCAGUCCGUACGUAGCUAGGUUCCACCCCAUCCUCCAUUCUCUAGCGACAACCUCCCCUAAUUUCAGAAGAAGAGAAUGAGUUGGGAAGCAUUCGAGUCUUCAUUCCGAAAAGAAGGAGAAAAGAUUACCUCUGGUGAAACCCUAUGUAAACUUACAGAAAUGCAGGCUGUUGUUGAAGUCAGAGCUCGGAGAGGUGUUCCGGCCAUGCUGCUAAUCGCCGAAAUCUGAGGAAGAAAUCGUUCAACGCCCUAACCGAGGGUCGAGAAUCAGGACCUGGGCGUAACCGAAUCAAACAAAUUAAGAGGAAAUUAAAGGAAGAGAUUGGAUAUUUUACCUUGUGUUCGAUAGGGAGUAGAGCUGUCAAAUAGGCAGGUUGGGGGUCAUUGGUUGGGUGGUUACGAUU
rnacentral:lncRNA from 1 species